AGUGAACGCUGGCGGUAGGCCUAACACAUGCAAGUCGAACGGCAGCACAGUAAGAGCUUGCUCUUACGGGUGGCGAGUGGCGGACGGGUGAGGAAUACAUCGGAAUCUACUUUUUCGUGGGGGAUAACGUAGGGAAACUUACGCUAAUACCGCAUACGACCUACGGGUGAAAGCAGGGGAUCUUCGGACCUUGCGCGAUUGAAUGAGCCGCUGUCGGAUUAGCUAGUUGGCGGGGUAAAGGCCCACCAAGGCGACGAUCCGUAGCUGGUCUGAGAGGAUGAUCAGCCACACUGGAACUGAGACACGGUCCAGACUCCUACGGGAGGCAGCAGUGGGGAAUAGUGGACAAUGGGCGCAAGCCUGAUCCAGCCAGACCGCGUGGGUGAAGAAGGCCUUCGGGUUGUAAAGCCCUUUUGUUGGGAAAGAAAAGCAGCAGGUUAAUACCCCGCUGUUCUGACGGUACCCAAAGAAUAAGCACCGGCUAACUUCGUG
rnacentral:rRNA from 1 species